rnacentral:tRNA from 1 species
GCGCUCCUGGCGGAAUGGUAGACGCGCAGCGUUGAGGUCGCUGUGCCCUUAACAGGCGUCCGGGUUCGAGUCCCGGGGAGCGCACCA